rnacentral:rRNA from 1 species
CUACGGGAUGCUCCAGUGGGGAAUAUUGGACAAUGGGCGAAAGCCUGAUCCAGCAAUACCAUGUGAAUGAUGAAGGCCUUAGGGUUGUAAAAUUCUUUUAGUAGGGAAGAUAAUGACGGUACCUACAGAAAAAGCACCGGCUAACUUCGUGCCAGCAGCCGCGGUAAUACGAAGGGUGCUAGCGUUGUUCGGAAUCAUUGGGCGUAAAGCGUACGUAGGCGGUUUAGUAAGUCAGCUGUGAAAGCCCAGGGCUCAACCCUGGAAUUGCAGUUGAAACUACUAGGCUAGAGUAUGGCGGGGGAUAGUGGAAUUCUUAGUGUAGGGGUGAAAUCCGUAGAUAUUAAGAGGAACACCAGUGGCGAAAGCGACUAUCUACACCAUUACUGACGCUCAGGUACGAAAGCGUGGGGAGCAAACAGGAUUAGAUACCCUUGUAGUC